GAUGAACGCUGGCGGCGUGCCUAAUACAUGCAAGUCGAGCGAACGGACGCGAAGCUUGCUUCUCUGAUGUUAGCGGCGGACGGGUGAGUAACACGUGGAUAACCUACCUAUAAGACUGGGAUAACUUCGGGAAACCGGAGCUAAUACCGGAUAAUAUUUUGAACCGCAUGGUUCAAAAGUGAAAGACGGCCUUGCUGUCACUUAUAGAUGGAUCCGCGCUGCAUUAGCUAGUUGGUAAGGUAACGGCUUACCAAGGCAACGAUGCAUAGCCGACCUGAGAGGGUGAUCGGCCACACUGGAACUGAGACACGGUCCAGACUCCUACGGGAGGCAGCAGUAGGGAAUCUUCCGCAAUGGGCGAAAGCCUGACGGAGCAACGCCGCGUGAGUGAUGAAGGUCUUCGGAUCGUAAAACUCUGUUAUUAGGGAAGAACAUAUGUGUAAGUAACUGUGCACAUCUUGACGGUACCUAAUCAGAAAGCCACGGCUAACUACGUG
rnacentral:rRNA from 1 species